rnacentral:rRNA from 1 species
UACGUAGGGUGCGAGCGUUAAUCGGAAUUACUGGGCGUAAAGCGUGCGCAGGCGGUUCGUUGUGUCGGUGGUGAAAGCCCCGGGCUCAACCUGGGAAUGGCCAUGGAAACUGGCGAACUGGAGUGUGGCAGAGGGGGGUGGAAUUCCGCGUGUAGCAGUGAAAUGCGUAGAGAUGCGGAGGAACACCGAUGGCGAAGGCAGCCCCCUGGGCCAACACUGACGCUCAGGCACGAAAGCGUGGGGAGCAAACAGG